rnacentral:rRNA from 1 species
AUGUCUUCCUCCUCCUCCUCCCUCGCCAUGGCCACGCCCUCUCUCACCUCCCUCGGUCACACCAUCACGGAAAAACUUACUCAUGAAAACUUCCUAGUGUGGAAGGCGCAUGUCCUCCCGCACGUCAGGGCUGCGACGAUGAUGGGUUACCUCGAUGGCUCGAUCAAGGAACCUGUUGCUGUCAUUGUCACCAAGAAGGAAACCGCCGGGAAGAAGGAGACCACCUCCACGCCGAACCCAGAGCAUGCAAUCUGGGUCACCCAAGAUCAACAGGUGCUCACCUUUUUGCUUGCCUCCUUGUCCCGCGAGGUUCUGAUGCAGGUCUCCAACCACACCACAGCCGCGGGCGUCUGGCAAGCCCUGGUCGAGAGCUUCUCUGCGCAGUCCAGGGCGCGCCAGAUCCAGCUCCGAUCGGUGAUCGGAAACGCUCGCAAGGGCGACCUCUCUGCUGCUGCUUACUUCACCAAGAUGAAGGGGCUAGCGGACGAGCUCGCUGCUGCAAGGAAACCCCUCGAUGAAGAUGAUGUCGUGUCGCACAUCUUGGAGGGUCUCAUGCAUGGGCCUGACUACAACGGGUUCGUCACCGCCAUCUCCACGCGCGCUGUCACCGAUCAACCGAUCGGCCUCAGCGAACUGUUUUUGCUUCUGCUCUCUGCGAAAGCCUGGAUCGCUACCCAGAACGCCGCCUACACUGCUCACCACUCCGCCAACCUCGCUGCGAAAGGUGGUCGCGGUGGCUACGGCGGCGGACGUAGCGGUCAGGGUGGCGACGCAGUGGCUACAACAUCAACAACCACUUCGACAACUCGGGCAACGGUGGCGGCGGUGGUGCACCGCGCCAACCGGGUGGUGAUUGCGGUGACCGCGAGCGCUGCCAAAUCUGCAAGGAGGACGGCCACGGUGCGUGGCGCUACAGGAAGCGGUUAG